AAAACUCAAAUGAAUUGACGGGGGCCCGCACAAGCGGUGGAGCAUGUGGUUUAAUUCGAUGCAACGCGAAGAACCUUACCUGGUCUUGACAUCCUCUGAACUUUCCAGAGAUGGAUUGGUGCCUUUCGGAACUUACAUACAGGUGCUGCAUGGGUGUCGUCACCUCUCGUCGCGAGAUGUGGGGUUAAAUCCCGCAACGAGAGCAACCCUUUUCCUUAUUUGCCACCGGAUUAAGCCGGGAACUUUAAGGAUACUGCCAGUGACAAACUGGAGGAAGGCGGGGAUGACGUCAAGUCAUCAUGGCCCUUACGACCUGGGCUACACACGUGCUACAAUGGACGGUACAAAGAGUUGCUACAUCGCGAGAGGAUGCUAAUCUCAUAAAACCGAUCGUAGUUCGGAUUGUAGGCUGCAACUCGACUCCAUGAAGUCGGAAUCGCUAGUAAUCGCGGAUCAGAAUGCCGCGGUGAAUACGUUCCCGGGCCUUGUACACACCGCCCGUCACACCAUGGGAGUUUGUUGCACCAGAAGUAGGUAGUCUAACCUUAGGGGGACGCUUACUAC
rnacentral:rRNA from 1 species